rnacentral:lncRNA from 1 species
AAUUGCAGAAAGAACAAUUAAACUCAUACGAAUACAUAUAAAACGGCGCUGGAAAAUGGGGGCUGUGUUCUCGCAGAAGAAUCAAAACGCCACUCGGCCCCGCAUUUCACACAAGUUGGGGUUCUGGGUGAGUGGGUUGAGGAGGUGUCUCCUACUUUGGUUUGAUCCAAGUUCACACAAGCUUUCGUUUACUUGGAUUUUUUUAUUUCAACUU